rnacentral:rRNA from 1 species
GCUCAGAGUAUAAGCCAAUGGAGCUUGGAAGGCUUCCGCAGAUGGUGUUCAUCAUACGUGGUGUUCUUAAGACCUUGAGUGUGGCUCGUCAGGCGAAGCAUUGAGUUUGCCGGGUAGCUGUCGUGCGGGGGUUCGGCUUGGAGGUCUCAGGCUUCGGCCGAAGGGCUUCCGGUUGUCCCCUUUUGAAUGGACGUUCAGAGCUCUUGUGUCUAAUGCGGUUAUGCCCACCACAGCACGUUGUGAGGUCACCCACAGGCUCAAACUGCCGAUCGCGCAUCCAGGACGAUGGCAACGAUGCGUUGUUGAUGAUGGCUCGAGAGAGUCUACACUCACACGCGUGUCUAGUCCUGGGUCGGGCGGCGACCGAGAUAAACCUGGUAUGAUCCUCUUGCGACGAGCUGCUUUCUGGCCAGACCGACGCCCAGGCGCUUCCACUGUGCCGGAAGCGUCAAUCCCAGGCGGUGUGAACCCAGCUGCAUUAUGCAAGGUCUCUCAGCCGGGCGUUGGUCUGAGUGGUGUUAAGUCCAGCACCAUCGGUCACGUCUCGAAACACGGGCCAAGGAGUAUAGCAUGUGUGCAAGUCUAAGGGUCUCACAAAACCCGAAGGCGAAGUGAAAGCAAGUCUGUGGCGGGGGAGCUACGGCAAACCCGCCGGCCUGGUGGCGCGUGCGUCGCCUGGCUUUUAGCAGAGCUGAUCCUGUUUUCUCGGUUAAUUCUUGGUGCAGGCGCAAGCUCCGGGCUCACGUACAACACUGGUCACGCCUCGUG